AGCGUAGGCGGCGUGGUAAGUCAGAUGUGAAAUCCCGGGGCUCAACCCCGGAACUGCAUCCGAUACUGCCAUGCUUGAGGGUUGGAGAGGUAGCUGGAAUUCUCGGUGUAGCAGUGAAAUGCGUGGAUAUCGAGAGGAACACUCGUGGCGAAGGCGAGCUACUGGACAACAUCUGACGCUGAGGCUCGAAGGCCAGGGGAGCAAAAG
rnacentral:rRNA from 1 species